CCUGGUUGAUCCUGCCAGUAGUCAUAUGCUUGUCUCAAAGAUUAAGCCAUGCAAGUCUAAGUACGAGCUCUCGUACAGUGAAACUGCGAAUGGCUCAUUAAAUCAGUUAUGGUUCAUUUGAUCGUACAGUUUACUUGGAUAACUGUGGUAAUUCUAGAGCUAAUACAUGCGAGAAGCGCCGACCUCGCGGGAGGCGUGCAUUUAUCAGACCAAAAACCGGCCGCGUCUUCGGGCGCGUUCGCCUUGGUGACUCUGGAUAACUUUGCGGAUCGCACGGUCUAGCACCGGCGACGGAUCAUUCAAGUGUCUGCCCUAUCAACUUUCGUCGGUACGGUAUUUGCCUACCGAGGUUCUUACGGGUGACGGGGAAUCAGGGUUCGAUUCCGGAGAGGGAGCCUGAGAAACGGCUACCACAUCCAAGGAAGGCAGCAGGCGCGCAAAUUACCCAUUCCCGACGCGGGGGAGGUAGUGACGAAAAAUAACAAUGCAGGACUCGUUCGAGGCCCUGUAAUUGGAAUGAGUACACUUUAAAAGCUUUAACGAGUAUCCAUGGAGGGCAAUGUCUGGUGCCAGCAGCCGCGGUAAUUCCAGCUCCAAAAGUAUAUAUUUAAGUUGUUGCGGUUAAAAAGCUCGUAGUUGGAUUUUGGGCGCAGGCGGCCGGUCCGUCGCAAGGCGUGUACUGGACGUCCUGGCCUUCCCUCCGGUUCUCCGCCGGUGCUCUUGACUGAGUGUCGGCGGCGGCCGGAACGUUUACUUUGAAAAAAUUAGAGUGUUCAAAGCAGGCUCUCGAGCCUGGAUAAUGGUGCAUGGAAUAAUGGAAUAGGACCUCGGUUCUAUUUUGUUGGUUUUCGGAGCGCGAGGUAAUGAUUAAGAGGGACAGACGGGGGCAUUCGUACUGUGCCGUUAGAGGUGAAAUUCUUGGAUCGGCGCAAGACGAACGACUGCGAAAGCAUUUGCCAAGAAUGUUUUCUUUAAUCAAGAGCGAAAGUCAGAGGUUCGAAGACGAUCAGAUACCGUCCUAGUUCUGACUAUAAACGAUGCCAACUAGCGAUCGGGGGGCGUUACAUUGACGACCCCUCCGGCAGCUUACGGGAAACCAAAGUCUUUGGGUUCCGGGGGAAGUAUGGUUGCAAAGCUGAAACUUAAAGGAAUUGACGGAAGGGCACCACCAGGAGUGGA
rnacentral:rRNA from 1 species